UACGUAGGGCGCAAGCGUUGUCCGGAUUUAUUGGGCGUAAAGAGCUCGUAGGCGGUCUGUCGCGUCGGCUGUGAAAACCCGAGGCUCAACCUCGGGCCUGCAGUCGAUACGGGCAGACUAGAGUGUGGCAGGGGAGACUGGAAUUCCUGGUGUAGCGGUGAAAUGCGCAGAUAUCAGGAGGAACACCGGUGGCGAAGGCGGGUCUCUGGGCCAUAACUGACGCUGAGUAGCGAAAGCGUGGGGAGCGAACAGG
rnacentral:rRNA from 1 species